UUGCAAAUGAUUUAUUCUAAAUGACGAUGAUGAUAAUAAUAAACCUGCCUAGAUUCACAAUGGAUUCCAUUUUUGGUUCAAGAGGAGACAGAGCGCUAAAGGAGGAGGGGGGGAGGGGGUGUGUGGGGUUGGUUGAUUGUGGGGGAGAAGGGGGAGGAAGCAAGAGUAUGAACCCUUGGCUGCAUCCACUACAUCGCAAGUGCCAAAUCAUCAGACUAUAAGUAGGGCAUCAACAUUACUUCCAUAUUACUUAAAUUAUAACUCACAUGUUAAAUAAUAACGUUAUAGUCAGUGAUGCAUUUGUUCAAAAUACAUAUAUGGAGAUUUGAUUGACAAACAAUUCCCACAAGGCCACAGCUCACAAAGCAAAACUUGAUCGGCAAAUCCCACGAGACAGCAAAAUAAUGGCAACUGAGGACUAAGAAGAAGAAUAAUGCGGCUUGAAAUUUUGAUUAACACAGCUUAACAAAAUCAAUUAACCUCCUCUCCCCUCUUUCUUGUUUUUGAACAAUAAAAAUUUCAUCCAAUGGGCCAGAAAUUUCGCAUUCAUGUACUUGUUUCAUCGUGCAAAAAUCAAAGAACAAGUGAGAUGCAAAUUAUCCACUAAAAAGAUAAAAUUUAAAGCAAAAUUUGUCAUGUACUUUUUCUCAGUGAAGCUUACAACAAUACUUACAGCUGUAAAGACGCUGCAGAAUGG
rnacentral:misc_RNA from 1 species